UGGGGAAUUUUGCACAAUGGGGGAAACCCUGAUGCAGCGACGCCGCGUGAUUUAGAAGGCCUUCGGGUUGUAAAAAUCUUUUUUACGGCAUGAAAAUGACAGUACCGUAAGAAUAAGGUCCGGCUAAAUACGUGCCAGCAGCCGCGGUAAUACGUAUGGACCGAGCGUUGUCCGGAAUCAUUGGGCGUAAAGGGUACGUAGGCGGCCUAGUAAGUUAGAAGUGAAAUAAUAUAGCUCAACUAUAUAAAGCUUUUAAAACUGCUAGGCUUGAGAGAUGGAAGGGAAAGUGGAAUUCCUAGUGUAGCGGUGAAAUGCGCAGAUAUUAGGAAGAAUACCGGUGGCGAAGGCGACUUUCUGGUCAUCAUCUGACGCUGAGGUACGAAAGCGUGGGUAGCAAACAGG
rnacentral:rRNA from 1 species